rnacentral:rRNA from 1 species
GACGAACGCCGGCGGCGUGCUUAACACAUGCAAGUCGAACGAUGAACCCGGAGCUUGCUCCGGCGGAUUAGUGGCGAACGGGUGAGUAACACGUGAGUAACCUGCCCUUGACUCUGGGAUAACUGCUAGAAAUGGUAGCUAAUACCGGAUACGACCCUCGGUGGCAUCACCAGGGGGUGGAAAGAAUUUCGGUCAAGGAUGGACUCGCGGCCUAUCAGCUAGUUGGUGAGGUAACGGCACACCAAGGCGACGACGGGUAGCCGGCCUGAGAGGGUGACCGGCCACACUGGGACUGAGACACGGCCCAGACUCCUACGGGAGGCAGCAGUGGGGAAUAUUGCACAAUGGGCGCAAGCCUGAUGCAGCAACGCCGCGUGAGGGAUGACGGCCUUCGGGUUGUAAACCUCUUUUAGUAGGGAAGAAGCGAAAGUGACGGUACCUGCAGAAAAAGCACCGGCUAACUACGUGCCAGCAGCCGCCGAAA